rnacentral:rRNA from 1 species
UGCGGUUAUACAAAAAUUAAAUUAAAUUUUAUUAGAAUUUAAUAAAUAAAAUAAAAAUUAAUUUAAAUAUAAAAUUAUUAAGUAAAAUUUUAAUUUUAUUAAAAAUUAUUUAUAUUUUAUAAAUUAAAAAUUUUAUAUAGUAAACUAGGAUUAGAUACCCUAUUAUUAUAAAUUUAAUUAAAAUUCUAAAAUAGUAGGUAUUUAAUAUUGAAACUUAAAUAAUUUGGCGGUAUUUUAGUUCAUUUAGAGGAAUCUGUCUAAUAAUUGAUAUUCCACGAAUAAAUUUACUUAAUUUAUUAUUUUAUAUAUCGUUGUUAAUAAAAUAUUUUUUAAUAAUAAUAAUAUUUUAAAAUUAUGAUAAAAAAUUAAAUCAGAUCAAGAUGUAGAUUAUAAUUAAGAAUAUGAUGGAUUACAAUAAAUUUAUUUAAAUGGAUUUUUUUUUGAAAAUAAAAUUGAAAGUGGAUUUAAAUGUAAUUUUAUUUAAUUUAAUAGAAUGAUUAAAAAUUAAAAUAUGUACAUAUUGCCCGUCGCUUUCAUAAAUAAAUUGGAAUAAGUCGUAACAAAGUAGAAGUACUGGAAAGUGUUUCUAGAAAGAA